AAUAUUGGACAAUGGGGGCAACCCUGAUCCAGCCAUGCCGCGUGUGUGAAGAAGGUCUUCGGAUUGUAAAGCACUUUAUGUGGGGAGGAAGGGACCUAGGCUAAUACCCGGAAGUUCUGACGUCACCAACAGAAUAAGCACCGGCUAACUCUGUGCCAGCAGCCGCGGUAAUACAGAGGGUGCAAGCGUUAGACGGAAUUACUGGGCGUAAAGCACGCGUAGGUGGUUCAGUAAGACGGGUGUGAAAUCCCCGGGCUUAACCUGGGAACUGCUUUCAUAACUGCUGGGCUAGAGUACGGUAGAGAGUAGUGGGAUUUCCUGUGUAGCGGUGAAAUGCGUAGAUAUAGGAAGGAACACCAGUGGCGAAGGCGACUACCUGGACUGAUACUGACACUGAGGUGCGAAAGCGUGGGGAGCAAAC
rnacentral:rRNA from 1 species